rnacentral:rRNA from 1 species
CCCUUAGAUGUUCUGGGCUGCACACGUGCUACACUGGCAGGUUCAGCGAGCUUCAUGCCCUGAUCUGAAAGGAAUGGGAAAUCUUUUCAAAACCUGCCGUGCUUGGGAUAGAUGUUUGCAAUUAUUCAUCUUCAACGAGGAUUGCCUUGUAAGCGCACGUCAUCAGCGUGCAUUGAAUACGACCCUGUAUUCUGUACACACCGCCCGUCGCUCCUACCGAUUGAAGUUUUCGGUGAGUUGACAGGAGGAUUUUUUUGAAACUGGUUCGCCAGUGGAUUUUAGAACCAAAUGCCAACGAAUCGAUGGCUUUAGAGGAAGGAGAAGUCGUAACA